UCCGCUACCAAUCACGUAACCAAGAUAAUUGAUACUUGUUACACAGAAUUGACUUUUCGAAAUAUUUAAAGUCAAGUUGGCUUUUCUAAACUGCUCAGCGAUGCGAACCAAUACCGCCAGAUGUGAACUGAAAUCCUCUGACACAAUACACAGGUCAUCUAAAUAACCAAAUACGCAAUAGCGCAGGUCAGAAGGAAUUAUCUCGUCCAUUAACCGACACAUGGUAGACGGCGCGUUACAAAGGCCAAAGGGCAUGACCUUAAACUGAUAUAGCGGUCUUCCGGGGACCGUAAAAGCAGUGAGAGGCUUUGAAUCCUCGGAAAGUUCUAUUUGCCAAUAGGCGUCUUUCAAAUCUAGUUUGGAAAUUAUAUUCGCCUUAGGUAGCCGCGAAAAAAUGCCAUCGAUGCUCGGCAGAGGAUAAGCAUCUUUUUUUGUGGCGUCAUUCAGUCUUCGAGCAUCCAGACAAAGGCGAACCUUGUUGGGCUUAAGGACGAGUCGCAUAGGCGAGCUCCAGGCGCUUACCGACGGCUCAAUAACUCCAAGCUGCAACAUGCGAUCAAUUUCUGCAUAUAACAACUUUUCUACGGCCGGACUUACAGGAUAGAAUCUUUGUUUCACUGGACGUGCGUCUCCUAUAUCUAUAUGGUGUUGGAUCAAUGUUGUGCGGCCUAAUCUAUCAGCAGCGUUGGGGAACAACUGCUUUACUACGUGCAGCUGUUGCGUUUGCUGGCUAUCUAAGGGAAUUUAUAAUGCUUGGCGCAAGCUCAAAUGCUCUCCAAAAAUCAUGACCCAAAAUUAGAUUUUGGUUUAUAGAAGGAAUCACAUACAGUUUCAAGGACUUGGUAGCCGAUUUAUACUGCAUUUUAACUUCAAGCACUCCGAUGACUUUCUGACUAUGGCCAUCUGCUGUUCUGACAUGCGAUGUAAUAGGCUUAAAUUCCGGCAUUGCGGUAAAAUCUUGUUGCGCAAGCGUAGAACCUAUACAGCUAAUAUUCGCGCCUGUAUCCAAUAGACCAAGCUCGGUAAAGGUUAAAAAUGACACUUCGGCAUAGCUGCGCAUAUCGGUGGGAUUGCAAAAAACUGUCGAAACUAAAAGCUUGCUAUGUUGCUUGAUUUUUGAAUAAUAAUUUUUCAAGCGCUGCGUACGCUGAGAAAUA